rnacentral:rRNA from 1 species
AUUGAACGCUGGCGGCAUGCCUUACACAUGCAAGUCGAACGGCAGCACGGGUGCUUGCACCUGGUGGCGAGUGGCGAACGGGUGAGUAAUGCAUCGGAACGUACCGGAAGUGGGGAUAACGUAGCGAAAGUUACGCUAAUACCGCAUAUUCUGUGAGCAGGAAAGGAGGGGACCUUCGGGCCUUUUCGCGAUUGGAUGAACCCAGGUGGGAUUAGCUAGUUGGUGGGGUAAUGGCUCACCAAGGCGACGAUCCCUAGCUGGUCUGAGAGGAUGAUCAGCCACACUGGAACUGAGACACGGUCCAGACUCCUACGGGAGGCAGCAGUGGGGAAUUUUGGACAAUGGACGCAAGUCUGAUCCAGCCAUUCCGCGUGCAGGACGAAGGCCUUCGGGUUGUAAACUGCUUUUGUACGGAACGAAACGGCUCUGGUUAAUACCCGGGGCUAAUGACGGUACCGUAAGAAUAAGCACCGGCUAACUACGUG